rnacentral:rRNA from 1 species
UACGAAGGGUGCAAGCGUUGUUCGGAUUUAUUGGGCGUAAAGGGUGCGCAGGCGGGUCUGAAAGUCAGGUGUGAAAUCUCGGGGCCUAACCCCGAAACUGCGCUUGAAACUCCAGAUCUAGAAUGUCGACGAGGGUAGGGGAAUUUCGCAUGUAGGGGUAAAAUCCGUAGAUAUGCGAAGGAACAUCAGAGGCGAAAGCGCCUACCUGGGAGGAUAUUGACGCUGAGGCACGAAAGCGUGGGGAGCAAACAGG